ACUGUUAUUGUACCAUCGGCUACUCCUUCUCUGCGUCGGUGGGGCGAUUUCCAGCCAGCUCAUUUUAUGGCGCUGUCCAACGGUGGAGUGCGCCCACCGUGGCCCCUAACUUUCGACCAUCCUCAAUCUGCUUGGGAUGAUCUAACAGGGGAAGAAGUCGUGACUCGCGGUCCAUGGGCAUCUCCUCGUGAUAUGCUAAAAUUACUCUUCGAUGAGUAAUUUGGUGAGAUCUAAAUGCUGUGGUUUGUGUGUGAUUUUGCUGAGGUCUGUGACCUAUGAAUGCUAUUGUGUGUGAUUUUGCUGAGGUCUGUGACCUAUGAAUGCUGUUGUGUGUGAUUUUGCUGAGGUCUGUGACCUAUGAUGUUUAUGUGUGAUUAAUUUUGAGUAAAUGAAACAGAUGCUACACUUGUUGGGUUGGAUGUUGUGUUAUGUUCUCUGUGAUGAAUACACUGAAACAGAUACUACACUUGUUGGGUUGGAUGUUGUGUUAUGUUCUCUGUGAUGAAUACACUUAAACAGAUACUACACUUGUUGGGUUGGAUGCUGUAAUUUAGUUGCGUGGUCUAUGAUGAAACAAAAUCUGAGACUUUAAAUGCAAACUACAUUUAUAGCAACCCCUGAAACAAAAGUGGUAUCUACUAGUUCAUGUACAGGUUUAAUGACACACCAAAAAGAAAUUAAACCUAUCUGAACUAGUUCUUAAAACAAAAGUGUUGUUUGUAAUGUUUCUAACAUUUUUCACAUACGAAAAUGAAGCUUAAGUGAGGUAAGGUCAUAGCCAUAACCUGAAUCAUUUUCUGCCAUAUUUAUGUAAUCCAAACUGUCUCUCACAAGCUGUGGAUCCACUUCAAUGGAUUCUGGUAGUUGCCCCAUCCUUUGAAGUCUGCUCUUGUUCAUAUGUGGUAUCUUGUAGUCAUUUCCUCCUUUCACCUUGAGCAUUUCUGAGUAACAGCCUUGCAGAGUCAAGAAAACAUUGUUAAGAGUUUGUGGUGUCAGUUCUUCAAAUGCCCUCACCACAUUUGCAAGUAGAUCAUCCACUGUCUUUGCUGUGUUAUCAUCUUGUAGGCUUUGAAUAGCUCUGAAAAAGCCUAAGUCAUUCACAUUUGUGUCGGGAGAAUUUGGAGGUUGACAAAUGAGUGUCAUUUUGAAUCCAUCUGUGUUAGCUGCUGCUGCGAACUCAGGGUCAUUGUUAAGAAUAUGUGGUCUAGCAUUGUCUUGCUGUAUAAUAAUGUCCUUGGGCUCUGUACUUGGCCAUUUAGCUUUGAUAGCUGGGAUGACCUGUUAAUAGCUAAGUGAUGAAACUAAUUUAUGAUAGCAUGCAUAAACAAAUGUGAAUCUUUGCAAGUGAUGAAACUGAAAAUUGAAUGCAGUUGGAUACCUGUGAUAUUAUGCACUCCUUAAUCACCUCUUUGGUGAUUGAUUGGAUGGGUUUUGUCUCCAAAGUCCCUUUUGCCCUGUUUUUUGAGUUUCUUUUGGCUGGUUCCUUUACAGUGAAGGGGAAAAUUCCAUAUUUCCCAUCAAAUAACACUUCCCCUUCACUUGAGAAGUGUGGUCUUCCAACCACAGACAUAAACAUAACCUUUGUUAUGAACCUCUUGGAUUGACAUGACCUAUGUGGUUCAAUCUCAUCUGGUAACAGGUAGUAUCGGUCAGUGGUCUUGCUCAUGAAAAACCAUUUCUCGUCAAUGUGGAUAACAUUUUUCAUAGGCUGGAAUUUAAUUGAUUCAGCCUCACAUUUCAACUGACUCAAUGCAAAUCUCAUCCUGCAUAACUUGUUUGCCUCAGAAAGUGAUGGUUUGAUUGCAUUUGUGUGGGGCCUGAGCAAUUUUUGCUUAAUCCAUCUGCCAACACUUGAUUUACUAACCUGUAACUUCUUGGCCAUUUUCCUUAUGGUUGAUCUUUCAAGCACAGAUAAGUUCUUUACCUUCUCUGUAUCGAUUUUCAGUUUGUCUUUGUGUGUGAUUCCUUUCCUUUUAUUCUUCAAAUGCACUGGAAUACCUUGUUGAAUUUGAAUGCAAAUUUCAUGCCAUAUUUUUCUAACUGUUCUCUUUGAUACUCCAUAAUUCUCUGCAGCUUCUUUGUGAGCCCCUCGCCUGAUCCGUCCAUCGCCUUGCUGUUGUUUCAUUAACCAUUGAGCAAGGCCGUUUUUUUGGUCCAUGGUGAGCUUCUUGUGGGCUGACAACAUUUUGAAGAGAAGAGAGGUUCCUGUCCCAACCAGAAGUGAAGAACUUUUUUUUUGGUAUUGAAUGCAGCUUGAGUAGGUAGAUUUUGUUUUUUUAAAUUGAAUGUGUUGUUUGUAAAAAUGUGCUGUAAUGACCUCUUUAAUGACGCGAGUUGUACAAAUUCCCUCCAUUAUCCAAAAUUUGGUGGGAAUCUGAAUUUAGUGUGUAAUUCUCUCCUUCCUCGAAAAUGGAGCGCGCCUUUCU
rnacentral:lncRNA from 1 species